GACGAACGCUGGCGGCGUGCCUAAUACAUGCAAGUCGAACGCUUCUUUUUCCACCGGAGCUUGAUCCACCGGAAAAAGAGGAGUGGCGAACGGGUGAGUAACACGUGGGUAACCUGCCCAUCAGAAGGGGAUAACACUUGGACACAGGUGCUAAUACUGUAUAACAAUCAAAACCGCAUGGCAUUGAUUUAAAAGGCGCUUUCGGGUGUCGCUGAUGGAGGGACCCGCGGUUCAUUAGCUAGUUGGUGAGGUAACGGCCCACCAAGGCCACGAUGCAUAGCCGACCGGGGAGGGUGAUCGGCCACAUUGGGACUGAGACACGGCCCAAACUCCUACGGGAGGCAGCAGUAGGGAAUCUUCGGCAAUGGACGAAAGUCUGACCGAGCAACGCCGCGUGAGCGAAGAAGGUUUUCGGAUCGUAAAACUCUGUUGUUAGAGAAGAACAAGGAUGAGAGUAACUGUUCAUCCCUUGACGGUAUCUAACCAGAAAGCCACGGCUAACUACGUGCCAGCCGCCGCCGUAA
rnacentral:rRNA from 1 species